UAAGCCAGUGACUCAGCCCCUGUAAUAGGGCUAAAAGUGAAUAUAAAACAUCUCAGAACUAUUUGCAUUUGCACACAAGAUAACCUGAAGCUAGUUUUAGUUUCCUGAACACUUCCUGAUAUUUUUCUCUCUGUCUUCCUAGGGUUACCUCGGUGGAAGCUCCAGUUGGAGCAGUUGGAUGGUCGACCACUGAAAGCACUGACGCCCUACACUUCAGUAAAGCCCAAUGGACAAAGACCAUCGACUGUCCAAGCCCCCCAGGAGGUAUCCCAUCUACCAGAACCAGUGAGUUUGGAUCAGUCUGAUUCUCUGUGCUCUGAGUUGGAGGGGGACCAGCUUGAGGACCUAGGAGUUCUGUCCAACGCCCAGACCCACCUGAUGUCCUCCAUGAUCUGAUGUCCAGGACCUAGGGGUUCUGUCCAACGCCCAGACCCACCUGA